UUGCUUUGGCAGCAGAUGCACUAAAAUUGAAAUCUAUAGAGAAGAUUUGCACAGCCCCUGCACAAGGAUGACACACAAGGUCAUGAAGCCUUCCAUUAAAAA
ensembl:snRNA U6 U6 spliceosomal RNA